GUCUCGGCUAACUACGUGCCAGCAGCCGCGGUAACACGUAGGAGACGAGCGUUAUCCGGAUUUACUGGGCGUAAAGCGCGUGCAGGCGGUUCAGCAAGUUGGAUGUGAAAGCUCCUGGCUUAACUGGGAGAGGUCGUUCAAAACUACUGGACUUGAGUGUGGUAGAGGGAGGUGGAAUUCCGGGUGUAGUGGUGAAAUGCGUAGAUAUCCGGAGGAACACCAGUGGCGAAAGCGGCCUCCUGGACCAUUACUGACGCUCAGACGCGAAAGCUAGGGUAGCAAACGGGAUUAGAGACCCCGGUAGUCCUAGCUGUAAACUAUGUAGACUUGGCGUUGGUGGUUUUAAAUCCAUCAGUGCCGAAGCAAACGCGAUAAGUCUACCGCCUGGGGACUACGGCCGCA
rnacentral:rRNA from 1 species